rnacentral:rRNA from 1 species
GAUGAACGCUGGCGGCGUGCCUAAUACAUGCAAGUAGAACGCUGAAGGAGGAGCUUGCUUCUCUGGAUGAGUUGCGAACGGGUGAGUAACGCGUAGGUAACCUGCCUUGUAGCGGGGGAUAACUAUUGGAAACGAUAGCUAAUACCGCAUAACAGUAGAUGUUGCAUGACAUUUGCUUAAAAGGUGCAAUUGCAUCGCUACCAGAUGGACCUGCGUUGUAUUAGCUAGUUGGUGGGGUAACGGCUCACCAAGGCGACGAUACAUAGCCGACCUGAGAGGGUGAUCGGCCACACUGGGACUGAGACACGGCCCAGACUCCUACGGGAGGCAGCAGUAGGGAAUCUUCGGUAAUGGACGGAAGUCUGACCGAGCAACGCCGCGUGAGUGAAGAAGGUUUUCGGAUCGUAAAGCUCUGUUGUAA